AUCUAGGCUCUUGCAUCGAUGAAGAACGUAGCGAAAUGCGAUACUUGGUGUGAAUUGCAGAAUCCCGUGAACCAUCGAGUCUUUGAACGCAAGUUGCGCCCGAUGCCAUUAGGUUGAGGGCACGUCUGCCUGGGUGUCACAAAUCGAAGCCUCCUGCCGAUUUC
rnacentral:rRNA from 1 species